rnacentral:misc_RNA from 1 species
UAAAGGCAACAAAUACAUAAAAACUUGCAACUAAAACUACUCAUUAGUCAUCACCAAGGUUAUCAAAAUAAUCUUCAUUUUCAAUAGCAACUAUUACAAAUUUUUCCUCCCUUUUAUCAUCAUCAGCUCGUGAAGAGGAUGCGCUUCUCAUUGAACAAGAUGCUCAAAAUGAUGGAGUUUCAACAUGUGUUGAUCUUGCAACCAAUCUCGAUUCAGAAACUCCAAUCGCCCUACCAACAUCACCUCAAGUCAGCACAUCAUCCA